UCGGAAUUACUGGGCGUAAAGGGCUCGUAGGUGGCCAACUAAGUCGGACGUGAAAUCCCUCGGCUUAACCGGGGAACUGCGUCCGAUACUGGUUGGCUUGAGUUUGGGAGAGGGAUGCGGAAUUCCAGGUGUAGCGGUGAAAUGCGUAGAUAUCUGGAGGAACACCGGUGGCGAAGGCGGCAUCCUGGACCAAUACUGACGCUGAGGAGCGAAAGCCAGGGGAGCAAACGGG
rnacentral:rRNA from 1 species